rnacentral:rRNA from 1 species
UAUAGCGAAAGCUGUUUGCAUCGGCUGAUGCAGAAUCGACUACGUUGAAUAAAAUUCCAGGCAAAAUUAUGAUAAUGACAUUGUUUGCCUGAAUGUCUUGACCAAAUUACGUGCCAGCAGUCGCGGUAAUACGUAGAAGACUAGUGUUAUUCAUCUUUAAUAGGUUUAAAGGGUACCUAGACGGCAAAUCAAGCCUAAAUUGGGACUAGUUUGCUAGAGUUACUUGUGAGGGGGCAUUAAAGUACUAAUGGUGUAGAGAUGAAAUUUUGUGAUACCUAUUCUUGGAAAAGAAAUGAUGGCACUGGUAUAGGCGAAAGCAUCCCCUUAUGUGAUAACUGACGUUGAAGGACGAAGGCUUUGUGUAGCGAACAGGAUUAGAUACCCUAGUAGUCAAAGCAGAAAAUGAUGAAUGUCAUAGAUUAGAUAUCUGAUAAAAUAAAUUUAUCCUAGAUAUAUAUUUAUUCUAUAAAUGAAAGUGUAAGCAUUCCACCUCAAGAGUAAUUUGGCAACAUUGGAACUGAAAUCAUUAGACCGUUUCUGAAACCAGUAGUGAAGUAUGUUGUUUAAUUUGAUGAUCCGCAAAAAACCUUACCACAGUUUGAAUAUUUAUAUUUAUUUUGUUAUCUUAAAUCUCAAAAUGGUAUAUUUACAAGCGUUGCACGGUUGUCUUCAGUUAAUGUCGCGAGACUUUGGUUAGUUCCAUUAAAUUAACGUAAGCCCUUACUUUAUUUUCAUAUAAAGUUGUUCCCCACUAUAUUGGAUAUGAUAACAGGGACUAAGACAAA